rnacentral:rRNA from 1 species
AGAGUUUGAUCCUGGCUCAGGAUGAACGCUAGCUACAGGCUUAACACAUGCAAGUCGAGGGGCAUCAGGAAGAAAGCUUGCUUUCUUUGCUGGCGACCGGCGCACGGGUGAGUAACACGUAUCCAACCUGCCCUUUACUCGGGGAUAGCCUUUCGAAAGAAAGAUUAAUACCCGAUGGCAUAAUGAUUCCGCAUGGUUUCAUUAUUAAAGGAUUCCGGUAAAGGAUGGGGAUGCGUUCCAUUAGGCUGUUGGUGAGGUAACGGCCCACCAAGCCUUCGAUGGAUAGGGGUUCUGAGAGGAAGGUCCCCCACAUUGGAACUGAGACACGGUCCAAACUCCUACGGGAGGCAGCAGUGAGGAAUAUUGGUCAAUGGGCGCUAGCCUGAACCAGCCAAGUAGCGUGAAGGAUGAAGGCUCUAUGGGUCGUAAACUUCUUUUAUAUAAGAAUAAAGUGCAGUAUGUAUACUGUUUUGUAUGUAUUAUAUGAAUAAGGAUCGGCUAACUCCGUGCCAGCAGCCGCGGUAAUACGGAGGAUCCGAGCGUUAUCCGGAUUUAUUGGGUUUAAAGGGAGCGUAGGUGGACUGGUAAGUCAGUUGUGAAAGUUUGCGGCUCAACCGUAAAAUUGCAGUUGAUACUGUCAGUCUUGAGUACAGUAGAGGUGGGCGGAAUUCGUGGUGUAGCGGUGAAAUGCUUAGAUAUCACGAAGAACUCCGAUUGCGAAGGCAGCUCACUGGACUGCAACUGACACUGAUGCUCGAAAGUGUGGGUAUCAAACAGGAUUAGAUACCCUGGUAGUCCACACAGUAAACGAUGAAUACUCGCUGUUUGCGAUAUACAGUAAGCGGCCAAGCGAAAGCAUUAAGUAUUCCACCUGGGGAGUACGCCGGCAACGGUGAAACUCAAAGGAAUUGACGGGGGCCCGCACAAGCGGAGGAACAUGUGGUUUAAUUCGAUGAUACGCGAGGAACCUUACCCGGGCUUAAAUUGCAGUGGAAUGAUGUGGAAACAUGUCAGUGAGCAAUCACCGCUGUGAAGGUGCUGCAUGGUUGUCGUCAGCUCGUGCCGUGAGGUGUCGGCUUAAGUGCCAUAACGAGCGCAACCCUUAUCUUUAGUUACUAACAGGUCAUGCUGAGGACUCUGGAGAGACUGCCGUCGUAAGAUGUGAGGAAGGUGGGGAUGACGUCAAAUCAGCACGGCCCUUACGUCCGGGGCUACACACGUGUUACAAUGGGGGGUACAGAAGGCAGCUAGCGGGUGACCGUAUGCUAAUCCCAAAAGCCUCUCUCAGUUCGGAUCGAAGUCUGCAACCCGACUUCGUGAAGCUGGAUUCGCUAGUAAUCGCGCAUCAGCCACGGCGCGGUGAAUACGUUCCCGGGCCUUGUACACACCGCCCGUCAAGCCAUGGGAGCCGGGGGUACCUGAAGUACGUAACCGCAAGGAUCGUCCUAGGGUAAAACUGGUGGCUGGGGCUAAGUCGUAACAAGGUAGCC